rnacentral:rRNA from 1 species
AGAGUUUGAUCCUGGCUCAGGACGAACGCUGGCGGCGUGCUUAACACAUGCAAGUGGAGCGACGAAUCGGACUUCGGUCCGAGGCAGAGCCGCGAACGGGUGAGUAACACGUGGGUCAUCUGCCCCGUAGACAGGGACAACCCUGGGAAACCGGGGCUAAUACCGCAUACGGCCCGAGGNNCAAAGCCGCAAGGCGCCUUUGGAGUGGCCUGCGUCCGAUUAGCUUGUUGGCGGGGUAACGGCCCACCAAGGCGACGAUCGGUAGCUGGUCUGAGAGGACGAUCAGCCACACUGGGACUGAGACACGGCCCAGACUCCUACGGGAGGCAGCAGUGGGGAAUAUUGGGCAAUGGGCGCAAGCCUGACCCAGCAAUUCCGCGUGGGUGAAGAAGGUCUUCGGAUUGUAAAGCCCUUUCGGCGGGGACGAUGGUGACGGUACCCGCAGAAGAAGCCCCGGCUACUUCGUGCCAGCAGCCGCGGUAAUACGAAGGGGGCUAGCGUUGCUCGGAAUCAUUGGGCGUAAAGGGCGCGUAGGCGGCGCAGCUAGUCAGGCGUGAAACCCCCGGGCUCAACCCGGGGACUGCGUUUGAUACGGCUGUGCUAGAGGAUGGAAGAGGGCCGCGGAAUUCCCAGUGUAGAGGUGAAAUUCGUAGAUAUUGGGAAGAACACCGGUGGCGAAGGCGGCGGCCUGGUCCAUUACUGNNGCUGAGGCGCGACAGCGUGGGGAGCAAACAGGAUUAGAUACCCUAGUAGUCC